UGGUCGUGAGAUAUUUUGCUACGCCGCGCAUAUCAUCCUCACAGCACUCAUCACACACAAUCCACACACAACCCAAUACAACACAACAUGUCAUCCACACAACCACAGCUACACAUCAUACCAACCACACUACACACCAACACUUCGCCUUUUUCACCACUCACAACCGAUACAAAAGGAUUGGUCACAUCGGAAUGACAGCCUUUUUUCGUUUUACCCGUGACCGCUAAGGUUUUUUCGCCAUCGAGACGUUCGUCGACACAUCGCUCUACAAGUUCAAAAUUUACUGAGUUAAACCAAAGUGAUAGUGGAGUAUUGUAUAAAGCAUUCCUUUGAAAAAUUUGUUGUGAAAAGAGAAAAUAAAUACAAAAGCCAUUAAGUUGAAAGUGAAAUACUUCUUUUCUUUAUUUCAAAGAAAAUUGGCUAAUUAGAAAAUUCCAGGUGCAAGUGCAAGUGCAAGUGCAACAAAAAUGGACAUAGAAGACAGCCAACUUACUCCCAAAGCUGUGAGAUCCGCCAUUGCUGCACCUAGAGCAUCAGCGCCACCCAUCGCCGCACCAAGGACACGAAGAGUCUUGAGUCCGCCAAGGCAAUCAUCUGUUGCAACACCCAGGGAUACGUUAGAAGAUCCAUUCGAAGAGACCUUGCCUCCACGAUGCAGCUUAUGCCAUCGGCCCCACGUGCUGAAGAGGUGCACUAUCUUCAAAAGCAUGAAGCCAGCUCAACGCCAACAGAUCGCUCGCGCACACGGCCAUUGCAUGAAUUGCUUGGCAGACUCCCACACCACCUUCGAAUGUCCAACCGACGGGUUAUGCCAAUACUGUCAACGCCCUCAUCAUACACUGUUUCAUCGAUUCCCUCGUCGAGUCAAUCCGCCAGCAAUCCGCACAAAUAACGGACACAGACAACACGAGGAUCCUGUCCAGCGCCGAAGAGGGCACCAUUCCAAACGCACCAGGGGAGCGCACUCACGACCACCUGCACCAACCUACGGUCAUCGUAAUCCACCCCGCAGACCCACUGGACUGAACGCCGUAGUGAGCACUCUGCAACGGUUGCAACGUCUUCUAGGCGAUUAAUCCGCCUAGGGGGGGCCGGGAUGUUUAUGCGACAUCUGGUCGUGAGAUAUUUUGCUACGCCGCGCAUAUCAUCCUCACAGCACUCAUCACACACAAUCCACACACAACCCAAUACAACACAACAUGUCAUCCACACAACCACAGCUACACAUCAUACCAACCACACUACACACCAACACUUCGCCUUUUUCACCACUCACAA